rnacentral:lncRNA from 1 species
AUAUUCACUUUCCAAAAGAAUUCUUGGCUUUACAGAAUGGUUUGCCACAAAGUUUGCUUAACUGUGAGUGCUCGUCUCCAGAACAUUCAAAAUGCAAUCAGCAAUUUAGUACUACAAGCACUAAGUAAGAGGAGAGAGAUGUUCCAGCAGUAAUGACCGAACCGGUGUUACCUGCUUGGGCUCCAGUGGGUAGAGUCCUCUUUGUUCUUAAAAAUCAGUCUUCUGAGGACAGUGGUUAUUUCAGCCACCUCCGGGUGCUGGAUAUACUGCAAAAACACACUGCAGAGAUAUAGGGCUUGAUCCUUCUACAUCACUCAAAAGGCUAUUGUGAUGCACUGUGGGACAGAAAGUUUUGCUAGAUGAUGCCUGUCAGGUCAUGGCCUUAUAAAAAGUAGGGAUCCUUUGGUCUCUAUGAGAGCCAAGCUGCACAAGAAAGAAAGGGUGAAAAUCAGGGUGGAAAAGAACACCAUGUGGGCAAAUAACCCAGACUAUUUAAUCAUCACAACUUUCUUUUCUGUAAAGAGUAUUCCAGGGACAACAUAAGGUUAAAGAGCUGGGUGGUGCGGUAUUGGCAUGUGCUACCCUUUGCAAGCUAGAAUUGAGGAAGUAGGGCACACGAGGGACAAAUGAGCCCAGCUCUGCUUGGUCCAGCACUCAAUUAGGCUCCAUCCUGCUUCUACUGAGACCAUCAGAGGAGGCUUUUAAUUGUUUACAGAUACAGUUCAAACCAAACACGGAGCAUCACAGCAGCACUACUAUGUAAAACAGAGUCGUAACCUCAGAAGAACAGAAUCGCAAAUGUGCCUAUUCGAACCAACCUUUACCAAAAACCAAAACCAAGAUAAACCACGAGUAUUAUCUGCAGGACGCUGGCCUGGGCCCAGGACCACUCCUCAGUUAAAUAGUGUUUGCAAAGAGGAAGUAAGGUUUUUUAAAGCCCCAAGACCAAGAACUGCUUCUGUCUCAUCUUGGAAGAUCAGUGUCUGAGGUUGCUGAUUGGCUGGUGACAUCCUGGUUUGUGGGUCAGGUAAGCACGGAGCUGGCUGGAAGCUGUCAACGUGAGGUACCUGUCUUGGGACCGUGGGCUCCAGCGGCUUUUGCUUGAGCAAGGAUUAUAG